ensembl:lncRNA
AUGAAUAUAUUCAUAUUGGUAGGAAAUACUAGAAUCUUCCCACUGGCCUCUCAAUAUCUCAUUCUCAUAUCUUGCACACACACACUUACUGCUCUUCAUUGGUCUGAUCUUUCUCAGCAUCUCAUCACCAUUCUCCUCAGACUCGGUCGACCUGGACACAGGAAACAGUCACACACUGUUCUGUUCCCCUACACCACCACCACAUGCUGUGGUCACUACACUGUUCUGUUCCCCUACACCACCACCACCACAUGCUGUGGUCACUACACUGUUCUGUUCCCCUACACCACCACCACAUGCUGUGGUCACUACACUGUUCUGUUCCCCUACAGCACCACCACAUGCUGUGGUCACUACACUGUUCUGUUCCCCUACAGCACCACCACAUGCUGUGGUCACUACACUGUUCUGUUCCCCUACACCACCACCACAUGCUGUGGUCACUACACUGUUCUGUUCCCCUACACCACCACCACCACAUGCUGUGGUCACUACACUGUUCUGUUCCCCUACACCACCACCACAUGCUGUGGUCACUACACUGUUCUGUUCCCCUACAGCACCACCACAUGCUGUGGUCACUACACUGUUCUGUUCCCCUACACCACCACCACAUGCUGUGGUCACUACACUGUUCUGUUCCCCUACACCACCACAUGCUGUGGUCACUACACUGUUCUGUUCCCCUACACCACCACCACAUGCUUUGGUCACUACACUGUUCUGUUCCCCUACACCACCACCACAUGCUGUGGUCACUACACUGUUCUGUUCCCCUACAGCACCACCACAUGCUGUGGUCACUACACUGUUCUGUUCCCUUACACCCCCACCACAUGCUGUGGUCACUACACUGUUCUGUUCCCCUACAGCACCACCACAUGCUGUGGUCACUACACUGUUCUGUUCCCCUACACCACCACCACCACAUGCUGUGAUCACUACACUGUUCUGUUCCCCUACACCACCACCACCACAUGCUGUGAUCACUACACUGUUCUGUUCCCCUACACCACCACCACAUGCUGUGGUCACUACACUGUUCUGUUCCCCUACAUCACCACCACAUGCUGUGGUCACUACACUGUUCUGUUCCCCUACACCACCACCACAUGCUGUGGUCACUACACUGUUCUGUUCCCCUACACCACCACCACAUGCUGUGGUCACUUCACUGUUCUGUUCCCCUACACCACCACCACAUGCUGUGGUCACUACACUGUUCUGUUCCCCUACACCACCACCACAUGCUGUGGUCACUACACAGUUCUGUUCCCCUACACCACCACCACAUGCUGUGGUCACUACACUGUUCUGUUCCCCUACACCACCACCACAUGCUGUGGUCACUACACUGUUCUGUUCCCCUACACCACCACCACAUGCUGUGGUCACUACACUGUUCUGUUCCCCUACACCACCACCACAUGCUGUGGUCACUACACUGUUCUGUUCCCCUACACCCCCACCACAUGCUGUGGUCACUACACUGUUCUGUUCCCCUACACCACCACCACAUGCUGUGGUCACUACACUGUUCUGUUCCCCUACACCACCACCACAUGCUGUGGUCACUACACUGUUCUGUUUCCCUACACCACCACCACCACCACCACAUGCUGUGGUCACUACACUGUUCUACAUUAAUUUCACAGGUCAUGAAAAUUAUGCUAUAGAAUAAAA